GACGAACGCUGGCGGCGCGCUUAACACAUGCAAGUCGAACGGUGAAGGUGGAGCUUGCUCCGCCGGAUCAGUGGCGAACGGGUGAGUAACACGUGGGCAACCUGCCCCAGACUUCGGGAUAACUCCUCGAAAGUGGCGCUAAUACCGGAUACGAGUUCUGCAGGCAUCUGCGGGAUUGGAAAGUUUUUCGGUCUGGGAUGGGCCCGCGGCCUAUCAGCUUGUUGGUGAGGUAACGGCUCACCAAGGCGACGACGGGUAGCCGGCCUGAGAGGGCGAGCGGCCACACUGGGACUGAGACACGGCCCAGACUCCUACGGGAGGCAGCAGUGGGGAAUAUUGCGCAAUGGGCGAAAGCCUGACGCAGCAACGCCGCGUGCGGGAUGAAGGCCUUCGGGUUGUAAACCGCUUCCAGCAGGGAAGAAGCGAAAGUGACGGUACCUGCAGAAGAAGCACCGGCUAACUACGUGCCAGCCGCCGCAGUAA
rnacentral:rRNA from 1 species